GCGCUGCGUCCCCAGGGGUUGACUCCGCAGCGCCUUCACUUCGGGGGCAGCAAGGCGCGCGCUGCAGAGCCGGGAGUUGCCAAACUUGCCAUGUCCAGAGCGCGGAGGCAGCCUGGGCCACGCGCUCACCGCAGCCCGGGCACCUCGCGCUCCUCCGCUUUGUUGUGUUCCGCCGCCAGUCCCCCUGCGCCUGCCUGCCAGUGUCCCCGAGCCCUCUCCUGCCGCGGGACGUUUCACUGGCGCUCAGGGAGGCCCCUCGGGUGGGCAGUGCCACUUUCCUCCUGGAGGCGCGCGUUAAAGAUCUGCCUGGGAGCGCCCGGCGGGCGGCUCGGCUUGCGCUCUGAUGAGGAGGCUGGGGCCCAUCGAUUCCCACCCCCUACCCACUCCCCCUCCCCUCCCCUCCGCCGGGCCCCCCCAUCAGAAGCUGCUUAGGAUCGGCGCUGUCAAAUCCAGCCCAUCUGCUGCAAUCAUAAUCAGUCUCAACCGAACGGUUCUGACAAAUCUCCGCCUGGAGCUGGAGUUGGAGAAGCUGGAGAGUGAGGGGCGGGGAAGGGAGGUGGGGGUGAGGGGACGAUGGGGACCGGGCGCCCUGAGAGGGGGCCUGGAGCCUUCUAUUGUCUGCCCCUAACGGAGGAACUGAAAAGGGAAGCAGGGAUCCAGAAGGGGAAAUAGUGCUUUCAUUUCCUAGUAAGAAAAAAAAAAUCUAUUCCCGCAGGUCCCUGGUUCCCUUCACGCCCCCACCCCCAGCCUCAGCUCUGUCUGGGUGGAACGAAUGUCUGCUAAUGAACUAAACAAACAGGUCUCUUAAUCUUAUCAUGGAGCUGACCCAGAGACUGGCACAGAUAUCCAAAGUAUCAUAAUUGGCAGGUCAGAAUUAAAACUACAUACAUCAUGGUGACUUUAUAGCUGAGGCAAAGUGGAGCUCAAGUGUUACUUUCCCAGUAAGCAAAUCAUAAUGAAGUAUCAUGCUGGUGACUAAUUUAACUAACAUUGUCCAGGAAAUUGCUGUUGUCCAGGAAGAGAAGAGUUGAGCCGAGUGUCAACUACUAGGCUUCUGGCACCAUCCUGCACAAGAAAUUGGUAAGUUCUACUGUGUUAUUUCCUAGCUUGGUGGUCUCAGUUGCAUCACAGCUAACUUAUAGCCUAAAUUGACAGGCCCACCUCCAAUUUAUUAAUUCCUUGGUCUUAACUUCAAAAUAUAUCAUCUCAUGUUUACUCAAUUAUUUAUUGAACAAUCACUAUGUGUCAGUGUUGGAAUAUAUGAAGGAAAAAUCAAACAAAAAUUUUUUACCUUGUGGAGCUUAC
rnacentral:lncRNA from 10 species